UCCCGUGUGGCUCAGUCGGUAGAGCAUGGUGUUUGCAACCCCAGGGUUCGCGGUUCGAUUCCCACGGGGG
rfam:Salmo salar isolate Sally breed double haploid chromosome ssa01, whole genome shotgun sequence.